UGGAGUAUUCUUUCUAUCGAAGCAAGUAGCUCUCUUUUGUUUGAGAACCGUAUUAUUGGUUCUUCUUGCCAUUUCCAUUAAGGUAGCAAAAGUUGGAAGAGGUAAAUUCUGCUAGUGUAGCCUACACUCGUCAAACAUUUUUUUUGAAUGCAAAUCGUCACCAACUCCUUCUCAUCAUAAGACUCUUGUAUAUCCAACACCCUUUCUCUAAAGUGUUAGAUGUAUUCCAUGAGGUCUUCU
rnacentral:lncRNA from 1 species